CAGAACCUCUAUAUGGGAAAACAGCCUCAAAAUAAGAGUGCCAUAAUAUGAAUAAGGGCUAUUUCAACACAGAGUGAUAAGUUAUUAGUGCUUCACUAUUAUCUUUUCUUGAGUUCUAAUGUCUCUCAGAAGAAACACGAGAUAAAAAUUGGGAAGAUUUCUUAAUGCAACAUCAAUAACAAGAAUAUCUUAACCUUCUAGAAAGAAGAUUGAGGAAGAAGAAUUCAAAAAGUCUCCAGUGAGUAAUCAUAAAAGAUGGCAAGUCCAGGAACCAGCAGAUGGUCAUAACCGCCAAAGUCAUUGCUCAGGGAAAGAACUUGCUCAGUUUUAUUUGCAUUCACUGAUGUUUUGGAAAACUGUCCUUCAAAACUGACAGCUGUUUUGAGAAGCAGCAACUGCAUUGUGACACCCACCUGGGCCUCUCUGGGCCAUAAGACAAGGGAACCUGACAUGAUCAUUAAGCUCCUGCUUCUUUCUGUGCCGCAAGCAAUAAAGUCCUCUGACUCUGA